CAAUAGCGUAUAUUAAAGUUGUUGCGGUUAAAAAGCUCGUAGUUGGAUUUCUGCCGAGGACGACCGGUCCGCCCUCUGGGUGUGUAUCUGGUUUGGCCUGGGCAUCUUCUUGGAGAACGUAGCUGCACUUGACUGUGUGGUGCGGUGUCCAGGACUUUUACUUUGAGGAAAUUAGAGUGUUUCAAGCAGGCACACGCCUUGAAUACAUUAGCAUGGAAUAAUAAGAUAGGACCUCGGUUCUAUUUUGUUGGUUUCUAGAGCUGAGGUAAUGAUUAAUAGGGAUAGUUGGGGGCAUUCGUAUUUAACUGUCAGAGGUGAAAUUCUUGGAUUUGUUAAAGACGGACUACUGCGAACGCAUUUGCCAAGGAUGUUUNCAUUGA
rnacentral:rRNA from 1 species